CCUACGGGGCGCAGCAGUGAGGAAUAUUGGUCAAUGGACGAGAGUCUGAACCAGCCAAGUAGCGUGAAGGAUGACUGCCCUAUGGGUUGUAAACUUCUUUUAUAUGGGAAUAAAAUGUUCCACGUGUGGGAUUUUGUAGGUACCAUAUGAAUAAGGAUCGGCUAACUCCGUGCCAGCAGCCGCGGUAAUACGGAGGAUCCGAGCGUUAUCCGGAUUUAUUGGGUUUAAAGGGAGCGUAGGUGGAUUGUUAAGUCAGUUGUGAAAGUUUGCGGCUCAACCGUAAAAUUGCAGUUGAAACUGGCAGUCUUGAGUACAGUAGAGGUGGGCGGAAUUCGUGGUGUAGCGGUGAAAUGCUGAGAUAUCACGAAGAACUCCGAUUGCGAAGGCAGUUCACUGGACUGCAACUGACACUGAGGCUCGAAAGUGUGGGUAUCAAACAGGAUUAGAUACCCGUGUAGUC
rnacentral:rRNA from 1 species